rnacentral:misc_RNA from 1 species
UUUCCGUAGGUGAACCUGCGGAAGGAUCAUUAUUGAAUGAACUUGGCAUGAUUGUAGCUGGUCCUUUCGAGGGCAUGUGCACAUCUGUCAUCUUUAUCUUUCCACCUGUGCACCAAUUGUAGGUCUAAAAAAUUUUCCCCGAGACACUCGGGGGAGCAUGGGGCGUUGCUGUGUGUUACCACCAGCUUGCCCUGCAUUUUCUAGAUCCAUGUUUUCACAUACACCAUAAAAUGUAAUAGAAUGUUAUUAUUGGGCUUUUAUUGCCUAUAAACUAUAUACAACUUUCAGCAACGGAUCUCUUGGCUCUC